rnacentral:rRNA from 1 species
UACAGAGGGUGCAAGCGUUUGUUCGGAAUUAUUGGGCGUAAAGGGCGCGUAGGCGGUGCGGUAAGUCUGUAGUGAAAUCUCUGGGCUCAACUCAGAGUCUGCUGCAGAAACUGCCGUGCUUGAGUGUGGGAGAGGUGAGUGGAAUUCCCGGUGUAGCGGUGAAAUGCGUAGAUAUCAGGAGGAACACCAGUGGCGAAGGCGACUUUCUGGCCUAUAACUGACGCUGAGGCGCGAAAGCGUGGGGAGCAAACAGG